GUCCAGACUCCUACGGGAGGCAGCAGUGGGGAAUAUUGCACAAUGGGGGAAACCCUGAUGCAGCGACGCCGCGUGAGUGAAGAAGUAUCUCGGUAUGUAAAGCUCUAUCAGCAGGGAAGAAAAUGACGGUACCUGACUAAGAAGCCCCGGCUAACUACGUGCCAGCAGCCGCGGUAAUACGUAGGGGGCAAGCGUUAUCCGGAUUUACUGGGUGUAAAGGGGGCGCAGACGGCGAUGCAAGCCAGGAGUGAAAGCCCGGGGCCCAACCCCGGGACUGCUCUUGGAACUGCGUGGCUGGAGUGCAGGAGGGGCAGGCGGAAUUCCUGGUGUAGCGGUGAAAUGCGUAGAUAUCAGGAGGAACACCGGUGGCGAAGGCGGCCUGCUGGACUGCAACUGACGUUGAGGCCCGAAAGCGUGGGGAGCGAACAGGAUUAGAUACCCGAGUAC
rnacentral:rRNA from 1 species